rnacentral:rRNA from 1 species
GUGAGGUAAAAGCUUACCAAGGCGACGAUCGGUAGCUGGUCUGAGAGGAUGAGCAGCCACACCGGAACUGAGACACGGUCCAGACUCCUACGGGAGGCAGCAGUGGGGAAUUUUCCGCAAUGGGCGAAAGCCUGACGGAGCAACGCCGCGUGGGGGAAGAAGGUUUUUGGAUUGUAAACCCCUUUUCUCAAGGAAGAACAAAAUGACGGUACUUGAGGAAUCAGCCUCGGCUAACUCCGUGCCAGCAGCCGCGGUAAUACGGAGGAGGCAAGCGUUAUCCGGAAUUAUUGGGCGUAAAGCGUUCGUAGGCGGCUGUUCAAGUCUGCUGUCAAAGACCGAGGCUCAACCUCGGGUCGGCAGUGGAAACUGAAUAGCUAGAGGUCGGUAGGGGCAGAGGGAAUUCCCAGUGUAGCGGUGAAAUGCGUAGAUAUUGGGAAGAACACCGGUGGCGAAAG